rnacentral:rRNA from 1 species
GUAGGUGGCAAGCGUUGUCCGGAAUUAUUGGGCGUAAAGCGCGCGCAGGCGGUUCUUUAAGUCUGAUGUGAAAGCCCACGGGCUCAACCGUGGAGGGUCAUUGGAAACUGGAGAACUUGAGUACAGAAGAGGAAAGCGGAAUUCCGCGUGUAGCGGUGAAAUGCGUGGAGAUGUGGAGGAACACCAGUGGCGAAGGCGGCUUUCUGGUCUGUAACUGACGCUGAGGCGCGAAAGCGUGGGGAGCAAACAGGAUUAGGUACCCUGGUAGUCCACGCCGUAAACGAUGAGUGCUAAGUGUUAGGGGGUUUCCGCCCCUUAGUGCUGCAGCUAACGCAUUAAGCACUCCGCCUGGGGAGUACGGCCGCAAAGGCUG